CAGAACCCCUGUGUCACCCCUUCUCCAACCCCCAUCCCCAUCUUUGGAGACACUCCGGGAGGGGACAGGGACCCCGGUGACUCCCUAGAACCAGCGCUCUUAGGGCAAGGCAGAGGUGGGAGUCAACCCGGUCUUCAGGCCAGUGAAGUGAUGCCUCAGUCUGAUUGUGUUUGAAGAUUUGCUGGGGCUAUUGUGUGACAACUGAGGGCAAAGAAGGGAAAACAGAAGCAAAGAAAACUGUUUCAAAAGUCUUGGAAUUGCUACUGUUAAAAGGCUGCGGUUCAUUUCUGAUUUCCUCAUCUUUUGCUACAAAGGAAAAAGAAAUCCAAUGAUGUGUCUGCAUUUGAUGAGGAGAAAACACGAACGACAGCAGUGUAGGUUCGAAAGUCAUUGUGCAGAGAGGGCAGGAGUGAAUUAAGGCCCCGGGGACCACGGACGCCGGGCCAGGAGACCGCCUGAAAUACGAGCCGAACCUGUUUUAAAAGCCAAAUCGAUGCAAAGAAAGCCCUUCAUUCUCACCUGGACGAAAGAGUUGGAGACAGGGCAGGCCGCCUGGCCAGAGGAGUGAGCACUGGCAGCUGAGCCAGCACCCUGGAGCCCAGCACCCCUGAGCCCAGCUCUCUAGUGUGAACCUCUGCCCGGCCACUCCAGCCCCACUCUUCUGGACAGCCUCUCUCCCCGGUGCUGGAGAACAAAGAAAGUUCUUGGGACUGAGGCACAAAAAGGGUUAAAUGAACCCCAAGCAGUAGGUGUGUCUAUUCCAGACCCCUAGGUGAGGCGACAGUAGCUGGGUUUGAUGAGCGUCUCUAAGCUCCACAAACUGAUUUGGUCUAGGGUUCCUUAGCUUUGUACACUCUCUUUCUUUCUCCCCCACCCCAUCACACACACACACAGACAGACACACACACACACACGCAUGCGGUGACCUAGGCACGUGUGCCCACAAACAUCCACAAAGCUGUGUAAUUGCUGUCUCCUCUUCCCUGACCCGAUCCUAUCCCAGUCCUUCCUACCCCGCCGCCCGCGCCCGCCUCCACAGCAGCUGGACUCACACAAAAAAGAGAAGAACAUUAAAACAAGCCAAAAUCCAUUUGCAAACCCCCCUCGGAUCCCCCCCACCUCCCCUCCGCGGCUGAGGAGGAGCACAGCUGGCUCCCCCGAGACAGGAAGCUGGGGUGCAGCAGGCCAGGGAGCAAGGCUCCUUCCGGCUCUGGGCCUUGCAGUGCCACCUCUCACAGAGGGUGUGGGGGUUGGGUGAGGUGAAGGGUGCUUUUCACUUUCUCCCUCCCCCACGCUCUUCGCGGGCUUUUGGGAAUGGAGUUAGGAAGAGAUCCAGUCUUCAGGACCCCACGACUCUCAGGACCUAGAGAAGAAGCGUAGGGCAGGCGCCUCCGAGCUGCCACAGUGUGACUGCCCCAGAGCCCACGUCCGCCGGCGAGAAAGUCUGCGCCGAGGACGGCCGCGUCGAACUCCUGAAGCGCUCAGCCCGCAGAGAAGCUCGCUCGGCAGUGCUCAGGCCCAGCCUAAUCUAGCAGUCUAGCAUUUGGUUGGCACCAGGAUGGAGGGCUGCCUCUGGCUCCAAAAGCAGAUUUGGAAUGCAGGAGAAAGGGUGACUGUCAGAGCCAGUCUCUCUCCUCUGUCCUCUCUCUCUCCUCUCUCUCAAGCCAGAUUUAGAACGCAGGAGAAAGGGUGACAGAGCCAGUCUCUCUCCUCUCUCCCCUCUCCCCUCUCCCCUCUCUCUCUCUUUCUCUCCCACUCCCCCUCUGCCAUUCCUAGAUCUCUCUUCCCAUGCCUUCGGAGGACACACCUGCAGGAGCUGCUGCGUUGUUUUGGUGACCUGGGAGAUCAAUAGCAAGGACCCAGAAACACCCACAAGCUCUAAGUGGGUCUAAUUUUGCUACUGAAAAGUAGUAGGAGAGGAAGGAGACUUUAUUACCUAACCGUGAGUUUUCCAAGAUGAUCCCCCUCAGCCAAGCAAAGUUGAGAAGGGUUUGACAGAGGGUGAGGACAAGACAGUUCCCUCCUAGCCCCCUCCACACCUCUACAAGAAACCUGGGCGGAGCUCCCCCACCAGCUGAGAACUCCUUGUAAAGGCGACUUGGGGUCCCCACCUAUGCUACUUACCCAGAUCACCAUGGCGUUCUAGUCAGGCCGUUCAGACUAGAACGGUCGUCUAGUCAGGCCGUUCUCAUCCGGGAAGCAGCUGACUAGACGAGGUCGGGGAAACAUUAGGAGGCCCAGUCAGUCAGUUUUGCUUCUCUCUCAUUUACCCUCCUCUUUUAAAGGUCAGCAGAGGAAAGCAGUUUUUCUUUUCCUUUCUUUCUUUCUUUCUUUCUUUUUCUUUCUUUCUUUUUUUUUCUUUUUUUUUUUUGCAGUAAAUCACAUGUAUAAUUGCAUUCACAUAGAAUUAAGAAGUAAAAUAAAUCUUUUCUGCAAAUGCACUUAGACAUGUUUAAAGAGGGACUGCCCUGACCACAGUCGGUUUUUAAAGGACGAAACAAUUAAAUAUAAGCUUUAAAGAUAAAGAACGUGAAGAGUGCCCAGUAUCCCCUUCCACUGCCUUUACAUAAAUUAGGUGGGUCUCAGGAAUAGCUCAAGUUAUCAAGAGUUCUUAAAGCUAACUAACCAAUACACAAAAAUAAACAGAUAAUCACAUCUCUCUUUAAAGUAAGUUACCCUCAAAGAAGUUAGAGGUGAAUACCUAACUGCAGAGUUAAGCUUUUCCUGCUUCUUUAUUUAUCCAGGUCUCUUAAUUUUAAAACAGAUUAAAUAAUCUGCUCAAAAGGGUUGAUAUUGCCCACCAAAACAGAGUGAAGACCGUUGUUCAUACUUUGAAGCUUAUCCAUGAGCCUUGGGACUUUUUGAAUGUUUAAAUGAAGUGUAAAUAGAUUAAGGUCACAGGUGAUUGACAAGAUCAAGUUGCUUAACUCAAUUAUCAAAAUUUUAUUUCAAAAUUAUGUCCAAUUUGAUUCUCCUGCUUUGCUAUAAAAGACCACAGAAAAUCCAAUAGGAGCAGACAAUUUACAUUGUGUCCUAUGUACUGUGAUUUAUUUGUAAAAUUAUUUUGUGAUAUAUAUAUACCUCCUUUGAUGUUUUUGAGGAAACCAAGUCUUUCCAAUUAGAUUUAGGAACACAGCUAUCACACUGAUUCAAAGGCAGUUACUUUGAAGAUGCAAAGAUCACCAAAUUUUAACAAUUUUCUAAAAUAUGUCUGAAUUUCUAAACUGCAAGCAGAACCUGCAGGCUGUUCAGAAUCCAAUUUUCUGGAUAUUGGCAUGCUAUAUUCAAUGUCCAGAUACAUUCAGUGUCCAUCUAUCGAAAUACUAGGUAAGAGUGCAAUUUGUAAAUAUGUAUCCUACAACUCUUUUCUAACAUAAUAUCUCAACAUUCUCCUAUGCAUUAUUUAAUAGAUAACCAAACUCUUCAGAUUAAGGCUCAUGCUGCCACAUCUGGAAAUGCUUCUUUUGCAUUACCCAUCACCACCUCCUCACCCCACCCCAGCCACCAGU